rnacentral:rRNA from 1 species
UACAGGGGGGGCAAGCGUUGUUCGGAAUUACUGGGCGUAAAGGGCUCGUAGGCGGCCAACUAAGUCAGACGUGAAAUCCCUCGGCUUAACCGGGGAACUGCGUCUGAUACUGGAUGGCUUGAGUUUGGGAGAGGGAUGCGGAAUUCCAGGUGUAGCGGUGAAAUGCGUAGAUAUCUGGAGGAACACCGGUGGCGAAGGCGGCAUCCUGGGCCAACACUGACGCUGAGUGAGCGAAAGCCAGGGGAGCAAACGGG